GCAUCUCUCGGGGUGUCCGCUGCCAGCGACGGCACAGCGGAGGAAGUCCGGUGAGAAUCCGGUGCGGUCCCGCCACUGUGACCGCGGCUCAGUGAGCCGUGGGAGCCAGGAACUCCGGCCGUCCUCCACUGCCCGG
rfam:Kitasatospora cheerisanensis KCTC 2395 genomic scaffold scaffold00001, whole genome shotgun sequence.